UACGGCCACAUCACACUGAAACACCGGUUCGCGUACGUUCACCGAAGUUAAGCAACGUUGAGUUCAGUACUUAGAUGGGUGACUGCUUGGGAAUAUCAGGUGCUGUAAU